rnacentral:tRNA from 1 species
GCAUUGGUGGGUUAGUGGUAGAAUUCUUGCCUUCAAUGCUGGAUACCUGGGUUUGACUCCUGGCCAAUGCU